rnacentral:rRNA from 1 species
CGUUGGCGGCGUGGAUUAGGCAUGCAAGUCGUACGGGCCGCAAGGCCAGUGGCGCAAGGGUGAGUAAGGCGACGGCAACCAACCCCAUGGCUGGGUAUAGCCGCGGGAAACUGCGGGUAAUCCCCAGCGACGCACGAGGCCGGCAUCGGUCUUGUGCCAAAGCUCCGGCGCCGUGGGACGGGCCGUCGUGGUAUUAGGUAGUUGGCGGGGUAACGGCCCACCAAGCCGACGAUGCCUACCGGGCGUGCGAGCGUGGCCCGGCACACUGGGACUGAGACACUGCCCAGACUCCUACGGGAGGCUGCAGUCGAGAAUCUUCGGCAAUGGGCGCAAGCCUGACCGAGCGACGCCGCGUGGAGGACGAAGGCCUUCGGGUUGUAAACUCCUGUCGAGGGGGAAGAAGGGUCGAAAGACCUUGACUGAUCCCUGGAGGAAGCACGGGCUAAGUUCGUGCCAGCAGCCGCGGUAAGACGAACCGUGCGAACGUUAUUCGGAAUCACUGGGCUUAAAGCGCGUGUAGGCGGGACGGCACGUCCGUCGCUGAAAUCCCCCGGCUCAACCGGGGAACGGGCGCGGAUACGACCGUCCUUGAGGGGC